rnacentral:rRNA from 1 species
AUGCCAGUAAGUUUUUCCUCUUUGAAAGACUCGGCGUGGGAAUUUAUUGUGGAUAAUUAUUUGAAAAUUUUUGGGUCUUGGAUUGGGAAUGCUGCCUCCAUUGGGGGCAGGCUCACUCUGCUUACUUCGGUGUUGUCGCAGCUGUCUCUGUACCACAUGUCGAUGUGGCUCAUGAGCAAGACUUUUGUAGAAAAACUAGAUAAGCACCGAAGAAAGUUCUUUUGGCAAGGCUGCAAUAAGAAGAAUCGUUACUACCUGGUAAAAUGGAAAAGGGUAUGUAGGUCGAAAGAGAAAGGGGGCCUGGGGGUCAAAGAUCUCAGGAAACAGAAUAUCAGUCUUAUGGUGAAGUGGUGGUGGAAACUCGAAACCUAG